UACUUCCACAGGUUCCCUGCUCUGUAUAGUCUGUUCCCUGGCUUCUCUACCUCUGCCCUGCCUAGCUCCUUCCCCCUGAGCUGGCAGCAGACAGCUUUCUGCUACCCAAAUUGAUGAAGCCUCCAGGAUGGGAUGAAGUGCUCUGCAGACAGGUGCCAUUUAUUCAGUUCUUUCAAGGCUGGCGUAUGAUAGUGAUAUGAUGACACUCCAAAAUAUUGCCAGCCAGGGAGGGCGACCUGUAUUGCAGAGCUGUUCUCUACCUGGAAGUACAACAGUAAGGUAGCGGCAGCUGUUCUUGACCACGUGUCUGACUGCCAGUAGGAUGCUGUAUGUGAUGUAUAAGCACAUCGUGCUUCGUCGGGCAAGCGGCAGGUUUCACAGUGUGCAGAAGGGUUGCUUAAAAAGAUUUGAAAUGCCCACAAGUAAAGGUAAUAAAAUUGGGAAAGUAAUUGUGAGAAGAUGGAGCAACAUCAGCCCAGUACUCUUAAGGCAGAGCUUCUUCUGAACUGUUUGUGUAAUGUUUCCAACCAGUCACGCCCAGCAGAGAUCACAGCAAAGACAACAGUAAGUCAGCAGUUACUUUGUCUUGCCUUUACACCAGAUAACUGCACUAAUCAUGAUAUUU
rnacentral:lncRNA from 1 species